GAGAACAAGAGAAUGUGUGUAUAUGAGAGAGAGAGAGCAAUUCCUUUCCCAAUAUUCCACGAAUUCCAACCAUUCCCUUCAGGAAUACCUCCAUUAUAUCUCUGCAACUCUUGUUACAAAUCGCAAAGCUAAUAUAGCAAAAGGGGACCCCCACCCCCACUCCACCCCUCCCCUUAAUUCUUUGUUCCCAAAGUCCAAACAAAACAUUUUAGUCUCUGAAGAAAUUAAAGGUGUUUGAACCUUCUGUAUCCUUAAAUACAGUUCCCUCUUUACAAAACCUUUUAAAGCAAUACCUUUGCUUUACAGAUUCAGACCCCAAGAAUAACAAAAGCCUUAGUUUGAAGUUAUUUAUUUUCUUUUAUUAUUUAUGUUGACUAGUGCUUACUAAUAGUCUCUGCUAUUCAUCUCCUCGUUCAUCUGCACAUUUUUACUUUUGUUUCUUUUAUCAAAUCCCUAUCCUUUUUAUAGGGGUUUCUUUAGCAAAAAGCCUAUUCUGAACCCCUCCUCUUCUUUUGCUCCCUCCCCC
rnacentral:lncRNA from 1 species